rnacentral:rRNA from 1 species
AGGGAAUCUUCCACAAUGGGAGAAAGCCUGAUGGAGCAACGCCGCGUGUGUGAUGAAGGCUUUCGGGUCGUAAAGCACUGUUGUAUGGGAAGAACAGCUAGAAUAGGAAAUGAUUUUAGUUUGACGGUACCAUACCAGAAAGGGAGGGCUAAAUACGUGCCAGCAGCCGCGGUAAUACGUAUGUCCCGAGCGUUAUCCGGAUUUAUUGGGCGUAAAGCGAGCGCAGACGGUUUAUUAAGUCUGAUGGAAAGCCCGGAGCUCAACUCCGGAAUGGCAUGGAAACUGG